rnacentral:rRNA from 1 species
ACGGGAGGCAGCAGUGAGGAAUAUUGGUCAAUGGGCGGAAGCCUGAACCAGCCAAGUCGCGUGAGGGAAGACGGCCCUACGGGUUGUAAACCUCUUCUGCGCGGGGGUAAAGUCGGGGACGGGUCCCCGAUUGCAAGUACCGCGCGAAAAAGGAUCGGCUAACUCCGUGCCAGCAGCCGCGGUAAUACGGAGGAUCCGAGUGUUAUCCGGAUUUAUUGGGUUUAAAGGGUGCGCAGGCGGGCUGCUAAGUCUCCGGUGAAAUGUCAGGGCUCAACCUUGGCACUGCCGGAGAUACUGGCGGCCUUGAGAGUGGCGGAGGUAUCCGGAAUGUGUGGUGUAGCGGUGAAAUGCAUAGAUAUCACACAGAACACCGAUUGCGAAGGCAGGAUACCAUACCAUAUCUGACGCUCAGGCACGAAAGCGUGGGGAUCGAACAGGAUUAGAUACCCUGGUA